GUGCGCUGGGACAGCGAGGAAGGUGGGAGGGCUGGGCAGCGUGGCAGGCGGGUAGGGACCCCAGCCAUCGUCUGCCCGCCCUACCGCACCCCGGGAGUGAGCGAGGCCGGGUAGACACACGAAUUCAAUCCGCCUUGCUUGGGAUCCAGCCGGUACUAUACCAGCGUUCACUUAACAACCAACACCAGCACCCAGGCCUGUUACAAUCGGUGAGUCACCUCCGCCUGUGACCACCCUGCAGUCCCGAGUGUUCUAAAUUACAGACAUGUACCCAAACUAUCUAUGUUCCUGUGUGUUUGAAGGCAUACAUUACAAAGCACCAAACUAAGUUAGCUGUCUACUGUACUAUUGUAUGGUAGCAUCGGUGCAGAGAGAACAUGGGGGUGUACAUUCAGAAAUCACAACCAGCUGCAUGUGCAACAAAUAGCAAGAGUACAUUCUACCCAGGGAUCCUGACCUUUGAGCUACACAUAUUUGGCUCUCUUCAAAAUUAUUCAAAACUAUCAAUGCCAUGAAAGGCUCAGGAACUCUUCCAGAUGAGAGAAAUUAAAGGAACAACUAAAUAAGAUACGUAUACUGCAACCUCUAGUGGAGGAAAAAACAAAUGCUAUAAAGGAUAUUAUUCCGUUGACAAAUUGGAAUAUGGAUGGCAAAUCAUUUAAAAGUGUUGUUUUGAUGUUAAAAUCUCUUGAAGUAAAUAAAUGUACUGUGGUUAUAUAACAGAAAGUCUUUUUUCUUUGGAAAUAUACAAUGAAGUAUCUGGUAAGAGAAGGAACAUGAUGUAUGCAGCUCAUUCUCAAAUAAUUUAGAAAAAAACUACGUGUGAAGGUAUGGUAAAUCCCUCAUAAACAAAAAAGCAGGUACAAUAAAAACGUUAGCAAUAAGUGAAUUUGGCCCAGUUGAUUAGAGCAUUGUCCCAUGGACUGAAAGGUUGUAUGUUCAAUUCCUGAUGAGGGCACAUACCCAGG